GCGCCUGUAGUGUAGUGGUAUAGCAUCUCAGCCCCCCAAGCUGAUGGCGCGGGUUCGAAUCCCGCCAGGCGCA